GACGAACGCUGGCGGCGUGCUUAACACAUGCAAGUCGAACGGUAAGGCCCUUCGGGGUACACGAGUGGCGAACGGGUGAGUAACACGUGGGUGAUCUGCCCUGCACUUCGGGAUAAGCCUGGGAAACUGGGUCUAAUACCGGAUAGGACCACUGCCUGCAUGGGUGGUGGUGGAAAGCUUUUGCGGUGUGGGAUGGGCCCGCGGCCUAUCAGCUUGUUGGUGGGGUGAUGGCCUACCAAGGCGACGACGGGUAGCCGGCCUGAGAGGGGGACCGGCCAAACUGUGACUGAGAUACGGCCCAGAGUCCUACGGGAGGCAGCAGUGGGGAAUAUUGCACAAUGGGCGCAAGCCUGAUGCAGCGACGCCGCGUGAGGGAUGACGGCCUUCGGGUUGUAAACCUCUUUCAGCACCGACGAAGCGCAAGUGACGGUAGGUGCAGAAGAAGGACCGGCCAACUACGUGCCAGCAGCCGCCGUAA
rnacentral:rRNA from 1 species